AGCUAGUUGGUGAGGUAAUGGCUCACCAAGGCGACGACGGGUAGCCGGCCUGAGAGGGCGACCGGCCACACUGGGACUGAGACACGGCCCAGACUCCUACGGGAGGCAGCAGUGGGGAAUAUUGCACAAUGGGCGAAAGCCAGAUGCAGCGACGCCGCGUGAGGGAUGACGGCCUUCGGGUUGUAAACCUCUUUCAGCAGGGAAGAAGCGAAAGUGACGGUACCUGCAGAAGAAGCACCGGCUAACUACGUGCCAGCAGCCGCGGUAAUACGUAGGGUGCGAGCGUUGUCCGGAAUUAUUGGGCGUAAAGAGCUUGUAGGCGGUUUGUCGCGUCUGCAGUGAAAAUCCGAGGCUCAACCUCGGACUUGCUGUGGGUACGGGCAGACUAGAGUAUGGUAGGGGAGACCGGAAUUCCUGGUGUAGCGGUGGAAUGCGCAGAUAUCAGGAGGAACACCGAUGGCGAAGGCAGGUCUCUGGGCCAUAACUGACGCUGAGAAACGAAAGCAUGGGGAGCGAACAGGAUUAGAUACCCUGGUAGUCCAUGCCGUAAACGUUGGGCGCUAGGUGUGGGGCUCAUUCCACGAGCUCCGUGCCGCAGCUAACGCAUUAAGCGCCCCGCCUGGGGAGUACGGCCGCAAGGCUAAAACUCAAAGGAAUUGACGGGGGCCCGCACAAGCGGCGGAGCAUGCGGAUUAAUUCGAUGCAACGCGAAGAACCUUACCAAGGCUUGACAUAUACCGGAAACAUCCAGAGAUGGGUGCCCCGCAAGGUCGGUAUACAGGUGGUGCAUGGUUGUCGUCAGCUCGUGUCGUGAGAUGUUGGGUUAAGUCCCGCAACGAGCGCAACCCUCGUUCUAUGUUGCCAGCGCGUAAUGGCGGGGACUCAUAGGAGACUGCCGGGGUCAACUCGGAGGAAGGUGGGGAUGACGUCAAAUCAUCAUGCCCCUUAUGUCUUGGGCUUCACGCAUGCUACAAUGGCCGGUACAAAGGGCUGCGAUACCGCGAGGUGGAGCGAAUCCCAAAAAACCGGUCUCAGUUCGGAUUGGGGUCUGCAACUCGACCCCAUGAAGUCGGAGUCGCUUAAUCGCAGAUCAGCAACGCUGCGGUGAAUACGUUCCCGGGCCUUGUACACACCGCCCGUCAAGUCACGAAAGUCGGUAACACCCGAAGCCGGUGGCCCAACCCUUGUGGAGGGAGCCGUCGAAGGUGGGACUGGCGAUUGGGACUAAGUCGUAACAAGGUAGCCGUACCGGAGGGUGCGGCUG
rnacentral:rRNA from 1 species